rnacentral:tRNA from 1 species
GACGCUGUGGCCGAGUGGUUAAGGCGAUGUAAGCUUUGCAGAUAAAUUCUCUCAUUAUUCUCUAAUUUGUGGAAAGGCCCUGCUAUUUCGCUCUCAGAUCGGAAAGCUAGGCAUUGGGUUUGCCCGCACAGGUUCGAAUCCUGUCGGCGUCG